UACGAAGGGGGCUAGCGUUGCUCGGAAUUACUGGGCGUAAAGCGCACGUAGGCGGUCUUUUAAGUCAGGGGUGAAAUCCUGGAGCUCAACUCCAGAACUGCCUUUGAUACUGAGAGGCUCGAGUCCGGGAGAGGUGAGUGGAACUGCGAGUGUAGAGGUGAAAUUCGUAGAUAUUCGCAAGAACACCAGUGGCGAAGGCGGCUUACUGGCUCAUUUCUGACGCUGAGGUGCGAAAGCGUGGGGAGCAAACAGG
rnacentral:rRNA from 1 species